CCUAGUGGUUGCAUCUACUAAUGAGGAGGCUAGGGAUAUUAGAUCCGAUGACCCUAGCCUCCCCACUGGCCAAUGCCACUCUAUUC
rnacentral:pre_miRNA from 1 species